GACGAACGCUGGCGGCGUGCUUAACACAUGCAAGUCGAACGGAAAGGCCCAGCUUGCUGGGUACUCGAGUGGCGAACGGGUGAGUAACACGUGGGUGAUCUGCCCUGCACUCUGGGAUAAGCCUGGGAAACUGGGUCUAAUACCGGAUAUGACCAACUGUCGCAUGGUGGUUGGUGGAAAGCUUUUGCGGUGUGGGAUGGGCCCGCGGCCUAUCGGCUUGUUGGUGGGGUAUUGGCCUACCAAGGCGACGACGGGUAGCCGACCUGACAGGGUGAUCGGCCACACUGGGACUGAGACACGGCCCAGAGUCGUACGGGAGGCAGCAGUGGGGAAGAUUGCACAAUGGGCGCAAGCCUGAUGCAGCGACGCCGCGUGAGGGAUGACGGCCUUCGGGUUGUAAACCGCUUUCACCAGGGAUGAAGCGUGAGUGACGGUACCUGGAGAAGAAGCACCGGCCAACUACGUG
rnacentral:rRNA from 1 species